AACGAACGCUGGCGGCAUGCCUAACACAUGCAAGUCGAACGAGACCUUCGGGUCUAGUGGCGCACGGGUGCGUAACGCGUGGGAACCUACCCUUAGGUUCGGAAUAACUCCCCGAAAGGGGUGCUAAUACCGGAUAAUGUCUUCGGACCAAAGAUUUAUCGCCUUUGGAUGGGCCCGCGUUGGAUUAGCUAGUUGGUAGGGUAAAAGCCUACCAAGGCGACGAUCCAUAGCUGGUCUGAGAGGAUGAUCAGCCACACUGGGACUGAGACACGGCCCAGACUCCUACGGGAGGCAGCAGUGGGGAAUAUUGGACAAUGGGCGAAAGCCUGAUCCAGCAAUGCCGCGUGAGUGAUGAAGGCCUUAGGGUUGUAAAGCUCUUUUACCCGGGAUGAUAAUGACAGUACCGGGAGAAUAAGCCCCGGCUAACUCCGUG
rnacentral:rRNA from 1 species